rnacentral:lncRNA from 1 species
CAUCUUAAGGGGGUUAGGUCUGUAACAUCCCAAAAUUUCAAAUUCUUACAUCUGCAAUGCAUCCAUGAGCAUCAUGCCACAAUUGCAUAUUUGAAUUCAAAUUUGAAUCUCAAAAGGCUUUGAAAAUGUUUUAUUUCAAUUUAAACCCUAGGGUUUUCACCCAUUUGAGCUUCGGAUCUUCAAACCAAUAGGGUUUAUUGCAUAAAUAAGCUAUCCCAUAAUUUUUGGAUAAUUAUUUGGAGUUGAAACACUAUUUUUAUUUAAAUAGUUAUAUAGCCCUAAAGGCAAUUAUAGGGAAAAUGUAUUUUGACAUAUUUUAUUUUGAAGGGAAAUUACUCCCAAAAGUUGAAUCAUGAUAAAACAUGAUUUUACAAAUUUUCUGGAAUUUAUUUGGACCAAUUUGGAGUUCAAAAUCAAAAGAUAUCAAAGAAAUGAGAAAAAGGAAAAAAAAUGCUAAAAGAAAAAAAAAGGAAAACCAGACCGGCCCGGCCAAACACACUGCGCGAGCCGAACCGGACCGAGCCGGCCCGGCCAGCCACACGCGCCCGAUACACUGACGGGUGGGACCCACGUGUCAGGGUCGUACCCUACCUUGGGCAAGCGCCCGAAUCAGCGCCGCC